rnacentral:rRNA from 1 species
AACCUGGUUGAUCCUGCCAGUAGUCAUAUGCUUGUCUCAAAGACUAAGCCAUGCAUGUCUAAGUAUAAGUAUUAUACAGCGAAACUGCGAAUGGCUCAUUAAAACAGUUAUAAUUUAUUUGAUAAUCGAAUUUACAUGGAUAACCGUGGUAAUUCUAGAGCUAAUACAUGCUGGUAGGCCCGACUUUUUGGAAGGGCGGUAUUUAUUAGAUAACAAACCAAUAUUCCUCUGGUCUAUUGUGGUGAAUCAUAAUAACUGAUCGAAUCGCAAGGUUUUUAACCGCGAUAAGUCAUUCAAGUUUCUGCCCCAUCAGCUUUCGAUGGUAGUGUAUUGGACUACCAUGGCUUUUACGGGUAACGGAGGAUUAGGGUUCGAUUCCGGAGAGGGAGCCUGAGAAACGGCUACCACAUCUAAGGAAGGCAGCAGGCGCGUAAAUUACCCAAUCCUGACUCAGGGAGGUAGUGACAAGAAAUAACGGACCGAGGCCUUCGGGCUUCGGGAUUGCAAUGAGCCGAAUUUACACCCCUUAGCGAAGAUCGAUUGGAGGGCAAGUCUGGUGCCAGCAGCCGCGGUAAUUCCAGCUCCAAUAGCGUAUAU